UUUUAUAUAUAUAUUUCUCUUUCUCUCUUUCUCUCUCUUUCACGUGAGUGCAAUUAUAUUUGUACAAUUUUAUCGUUCGUUUCGAGUGUGACAGUUAAAGAGAGAGAGAGAGAGAGAAAGAGAAAGAGAAAACAACCGUAGUGAAUUAAAUUAAUGCGACAGGGUGUAAGCAUGCCACAAUCGAAACUCACGAGUUUGCUAUUAACGACGUGGUUAUUCGCAACAGUGGCCACUAAAUCGCGCGUAGACGAGCUCAUCCAAACUUCAACCGAAUACGAGAUUAUAUAUCCGAGAAUAAUAACGUAUGAUUAUCUAUCCUCAUCGUUACGUGAUCAAAGAUUACCAUUGAUAAAUUAUUAUUCGAGGAUUCCCACGUUAAAACAUAAUAAGAUCUAUGUGAUCGUUCAAAAUUGGACACUUGUAACAACGAUCAACGAUCGAUUAACAUUUUCAAAUGGUCUAUCAAAUGAACGAGAAAAUUUCAAUCGUAGUUUCUUAGAUUGCGAUCUAAGAUACGGUAUUAUAGAAAACAAUGAAAAUUCUUCGUCAGUUGUAUUGACGAUUUGUUUAGAUGAAAUAUAUGCAUUUUUCAUCGUCAAUGGUAGAUCCUUCUUCGUGGAACCUUUGACUAAUGGUAAACAUAUUUUUUACGAAUCGAAUAAUACCAAAUGGUGGUCGUCCAAACAAUUAUCCAAAAAUUUUGGUCCGUCGAUCGAAAUUUUACCUGAUUUUUAUUACCAGAAGAAAAUAAACGAAUUGAAAGGUCCCACAGAACGAUCCAAACGAGAUAUUCCAAGCGUUAAAACUAAUGGAUAUUAUAAUCUAACCGGAGAUGUUUUCGAUAUGGAAAAUUUGAAUCUUGAUUUCGAGGAUAAUGAGGAAUUCUUGAAAAAAACAGACGACGAUGUUAUGAUCGAACGAUUGCCACCAAGGAAUGAUCCCGAGGACGUUGGUUAUUUUUCUAAUCCAUCUUGGAGCAGAAGCAAAGUACCGAAACGGAAACAAUUACCACCACGAUGGUUGGAGGUUGCGAUAGCUGCAGAUUAUUCUGUUAUCGAAUUUCAUGGUCCUCGUGUUCGACAAUACGUUCUUGCACUUCUGAAUAUUGUCAGUGCAGUUUUUAGAGAUCCUUCACUCGACUCUAAUAUGGUUCUCGUGGUUGCUCGGAUAAUCCUUUACGCGGAUAAGAGAGAUAGUUUGGUUCAAGAUGGAAACUCAAGAAAAUCUUUGGAAAAUGUCAACAAGUGGAACCGCAAACUCUUAUCCUUAUCAAAGGAUAGUCACGAUAUAGCAAUAUGGUUAACUCGAUUAGAUAUCGGUGGUCCAUCAGGAUACGCUCCUGUAUCGGGAGUUUGCAAUCCUGCGAGAUCUUGUACUUUAAAUCGUGACGAAGGUUUAACCAGUGCUUUCAUCAUUGCCCACGAAUUGGCACAUAUUUUGGGAUUGACUCACGAUGGCGAUAAAACAUCUGGAAAUUAUUGCGAGGAGGAAGCUUCGCUUGGUAGCGUGAUGGCCCCUAUGGUUGCCGCAACUUUCCAUCAUUUUUAUUGGUCCACGUGUUCGAGGAAAGAAUUCCAUCGGAAAGUCAAACAAUGGUCUUGUUUGUUAAAUCGACCGAAUAUUGACAAUAAUAUUACACGGUUGGAUAUUAAUGUACAAGAAAUGUUUACGAUGGAUGAACAAUGUCGAGUGGAAUUUGGUCAAGGUUAUCAUCUAUGUAAAAGCUUUGAAAUUCGGGAACCGUGUUCUCGUCUAUGGUGUGGUAAUUCGAACAUUUCUCAAAUAUGCAAAACUAAGAAAGGUCCACCAAUGGAAGGUACACUCUGUGGAAAAAAUAAAUGGUGCGUUAACGGCCGCUGCGAAACUAUGGAUCGAGAAAGAUCGAAUUUAGAACCAUUAUUUUCUAAUCCAAGAAAUGGAGGAUGGAGUGGUUGGAGUUUAUGGGGAAAGUGUACCAGAUCAUGCGGCAUUGGUGUACAAUGUAGAUCACGAACUUGCAGCAAUCCACGGCCAGCUUACGGUGGAAAAUAUUGUAUGGGUUCUAGCGAGGAUUGUAAAAUUUGCGAGUCAAUGAAAUGCUUGACAAAUAUUGAUCUUCGUGCUCAACAAUGUUCGAGAUUGAUCGGUAUUUUAGAUUUUAAAGAAAUAUCGUCGAAAUUGAACAUGACAUGGUUGGCUUACGAGCCCGAAGAAAUAGAAUUAAAAUGCCGAUUAAUUUGCCGUAGCAAAGAGACCGGAGAAAUAUUUACAAGUAAAAAGAAUCUAAUGAAUGGGACUCCUUGUUCUUACGGUUCUACGGACAUCUGUAUUCAGGGCGAAUGUAGGCGUAUGGGGUGCGAUAAUAUUUUCAAUUCGGACAAAAUAUUGGACAAUUGUGGUACAUGCAAUGGCAACGAUACCGAUUGCGACUACGUUAUUAAUAAAUUUCAACGUAAACUACGCCGAGCAAUGACACGUUUAACCGUAUUACCGCGAAAUGGUAUUAACAUGGAAAUGAAUAUUACAAUGUUAAAAACAUCGUUCGUACAUAAAAUCAAUACAACGUUCGUUAUAAUAGAUGGUAAAAAACGUCGACAUAGAGUAAACAAUUUUGAUAUAAAAAGUUACGAAUUGUUAGUGGUCGAGGGUACUGCUUUUCAAAUUCAGAUAGUUGCUAAUAACAAAUAUACCGUGAAAACUAGAGGGAUGGCUUUGGAUGACAUUAUCGUAUCGUUCGUAGUACCACCGAAUGUUGUAAGAUCGGGUACAUCAAUAGCUGUAUCUUCACGGUAUUCCAUAAACCGUAAUGAAAAAAAUACAGAUAAACGAUACUUAUGGAUGGAGGGUGGAUGGAAUUUUUGUUCUGUCACCUGUGGAGGUGGAAUACGGAGAAAAAUGAUUGCUUGUAAGGACGAUAAGACUGGAAGAAUAGUUUCCAGAAGGAAAUGUGCAUUUGUUCCCAAACCUAAUUUAAAAAUGGAAAUUUGUAACAUACAGAGUUGCGAUUAUAAAUGGCUGCCAGGACCAUGGGAAACAUGUUCAGCUUCCUGUGGACAUUUUGGUAUUCAAACACGUCAACUUCAUUGCGUUCGCUCGUCCUAUAAUGAAAGUGAAAUAAUUAGUAGUAACGAAUUGGAGGCUUACAGAAUAAUAUUGAGACCUUCUUUGUGUAUGGAUCAUCAACGACCAAAAAUCGAACAAGAAUGUAACAGGGUAGCCUGUUAAAAUUGUUAAUAGCCAUAUUUUAGAUUCGAUUUUUUUUCCAUUGUUACAAGGAAUCGCGAUUUAGGAGAAUACAAAUUUCAAUUUGUGGGUUUGUUUUUAUAAUGCAGAUAAUAUCCUAUGGUUUAGAAAUACCGAUUAAUGAAGAAUUCAUCAGUUAUGACAUCUUUCGAGUUUGAAAAAUUACAUAUACUAAAAAGAUAUUUUAUUGAAAAAGAGAAGGAAUAAUUGUAAAAUAAGCUUUUUUUGUAAGUAUCAACAAUAAAACCUAAUAAAUUUUU
rnacentral:misc_RNA from 1 species